UGCCUAUGAUGUUAAAUAAUAUUUGCUACUCUUGAUGGGGUUUAAAACCAUUUGAUGACAAACCACCAAGAUCUCUGAGGCU
rnacentral:snoRNA from 1 species